AUAGAUACCCCGGUAGUCCACGCCCUAAACGAUGCGAACUGGAUGUUGGGUACAUUACGGUACUCAGUGUCGAAGCUAACGCGUUAAGUUCGCCGCCUGGGGAGUACGGUCGCAAGACUGAAACUCAAAGGAAUUGACGGGGGCCCGCACAAGCGGUGGAGUAUGUGGUUUAGUUCGAUGCAACGCGAAGAACCUUACCUGGCCUUGACAUCUGUCGAAUCCUGCAGAGAUGCGGGAGUGCCGCAAGGAACGACAAGACAGGUGCUGCAUGGCUGUCGUCAGCUCGUGUCGUGAGAUGUUGGGUUAAGUCCCGCAACGAGCGCAACCCUUGUCCCUAGUUGCCAGCACGUAAUGGUGGGAACUCUAGGGAGACUGCCGGUGACAAACCGGAGGAAGGUGGGGAUGACGUCAAGUCCUCAUGGCCCUUACGGCCAGGGCUACACACGUACUACAAUGGUCGGUACAGAGGGUUGCGAAGCCGCGAGGUGGAGCCAAUCCCAGAAAGCCGAUCCCGAGUCCGGAUCGGAGUCUGCAACUCGACC
rnacentral:rRNA from 1 species